CGCGGAGUGGAGCAGUUGGUAGCUCGUCGGGCUCAUAACCCGGAGGUCGCAGGUUCGAGUCCUGUCUCCGCAA
rnacentral:tRNA from 1 species